GAUGAACGCUGGCGGCGUGCCUAAUACAUGCAAGUCGAGCGAACAGACGAGGAGCUUGCUCCUCUGACGUUAGCGGCGGACGGGUGAGUAACACGUGGAUAACCUACCUAUAAGACUGGGAUAACUUCGGGAAACCGGAGCUAAUACCGGAUAAUAUAUUGAACCGCAUGGUUCAAUAGUGAAAGACGGUUUUGCUGUCACUUAUAGAUGGUUCCGCGCCGCAUUAGCUAGUUGGUAAGGUAACGGCUUACCAAGGCGACGAGGCGUAGCCGACCUGAGAGGGUGAUCGGCCACACGAGAACUGAGACACGGUCCAGACGCCUACGGGAGGCAGCAGUAGGGAAUCGUCCGCAAUGGGCGAAAGCCUGACGGAGCAACGCCGCGUGAGUGAUGAAGGUCUUCGGAUCGUAAAACUCUGUUAUUAGGGAAGAACAAAUGUGUAAGUAACUAUGCACGUCUUGACGGUACCUAAUCAGAAAGCCACGGCUAACUACGUG
rnacentral:rRNA from 1 species